GGGUCAUUAGCUCAGCUGGUAGAGCAGCGGACUCUUAAUCCGUUGGUCGCAGGUUCGAUCCCUGCAUGGCCUACCA
rnacentral:tRNA from 1 species